CAUACAAAAUAUUAAUAUAAAUCAUCGACAUAAAUCAGCAAGAGUUGUUAAUUAAACGUUAAUUAAAUCUACAGUUUAAUGGUAACAAGUCAAGCACUCGAAUGUUGCUUGACACCAUAGAGACAUUGGCAGAAAGGUUUCGGGGAGCCGCAACAACAAGUUGCAACCACCUGGCGAGGGCAAUGCCGGCCACCCAGUGGCCUCCAGGUGCUCCCAAAACCCCCUGCCUCGUCCCGCAUGCCUGCUGCCGACGUGGACGUCGUCGUUGAUGGAAAAAGGAGCGCAACUCCGAGCGUACACGAGACGCCAUGCAACAUCUCCCCGUGCCUCCCUGUCCAAUGGGGGGCAACAGUAUCGUUCUGGAACACGCGCGAAUCAACGUUCCAAAAUCGAUACGUACAUCUGCCGCAAUGUAGAGUCUAUUGACUCCUCUGGCUGGCUGCUAGGAGCAUCUCCAAGGCGACUCAGGAUGGAACGCGCGGCGUGUCCCGCUUUCCACGGAAAUCUCGUGGGAGAGCAGACGGUUCUCGCGGCGACUGGCGACUCCAUGGUUUAUUGAUACCAUUGUGGAGUGAUCUGGAAGCGUUUCUGAAUUUUUUUCACCAUCCUAAUUUAGGACAAAUAGAUUCUGGAAGGGGAAUCGUGCGCCCGGACGCCUUUCGGGCUAGUUCGUCUUCAGAGUCUUUAAUCUAGAAGAUGAUUGAUAAUGCUUGCAACGUUUCAAGACUGGCCUAUAUAUUCUCGAUUCGGUUGAUUACUUCAUUUUAUUCCGAUGGAAUUAUUUUGUAGAGGCUUGGAUAUAUAUCGGUCGAGUAAUCCAACAAAAGGGGCGUUUUUACGUGUUCUGGGAGCCGUGUGCCAACUUUAAGAAAAAUGGACAAAAAGUUGCGAUAAAUUUUUAUGGAUCGCAUUUACUUCGGCCCACGAAUUAUGUUACACCGCAGUAAUAAUAUUAUAUUACCUGAAUACAUACAAUUAUGUAUAUAAGUGUAACGUUAUAUAGAAGAAAUAAUAUUUGUAUUUAAUAAUCGAUUUCUAGGGAAGUUAAAACUUUUGCGAAUCCCAACGAUUAUUUUAUAUAUUUUUUUAAACGUAAGAAAUCUUUUUUAGAAAAAUCAAGUGAUUUAAAGAGCAUAGAAGAAUUAAGAACGAAAAGAAAUGGCAUCGAAAAAGAAUUUUGUUUGAAUAAUUGAUGACUGAUCAACUGAUCAUUCUCAAAACAAGCGUAUUUUACAAAACGCCAAUUUCAGUGCAAUUCCCUCAUCGAUGCAAGCUAUUAGUUUCCGCGAUCGAUCCGUGUCACACGACACCGCCGUUCAUGGUAUACCAUUCAUGCAGCCCGCUGUAAAAAGAGAAUACGUAUCCGUUCGUUCCACGGAGGAAAGAUGCGACCCCCGAUAGGUACGAUAAAACGAUCAAAAUUAUCGCACCUAUGCAUCUCUUGAACCUCGGUAAACAAAGACGGUAUUAUCC